rnacentral:rRNA from 1 species
GUGAAGUGAUUCGUUCGCCCAAUCGCAUUUCCAAACAACWAACAACUCAGAAUGCUGGGCAAUAGGACGUUUAAAGUGGCUCCUUACACCUUACAAAGGAAUGGCUGAUGAGAAACAACUCGAUCCGCUCAGCGUUCUAUUGGAAUGCAACGGACGUGAUUGCAAGCUUUUGUUUUGAGUUGCGGUUUUACUGAAAGACUCUACAAUCCGCAAACUUCAAUGAUCUGAAGUAGAAAACCUACAUGCUACAGUGAGAUAUUGUGGAUAAACUUAAGCGACCGCUCCAACAUUGUGUUUUUUUAAAACUGAUGAAGGUUGCGGCAAUAACAGGUCUGUGAUGCCCUUCGAUGUCCUGGGCUGCACACGUGCUACAAUGGCUAGCGCAGUGAGCAUAUUUCAACCGAAACAUCGGUUGGCUGUUCUGAUUGACCCCUUCUGGGUCUCUCUGUAACACUACCGAUGAUCCCUCCUCUGAAAAGAGAGGGUAAGCCGUUCGAAAUUCUGGUAACGAUUCCCCGUAGUUAAGCAAACUUAAACCAUAGUGGUGUCAAACGGGUCCGCUUCCAUCGGAAAAGAUUCCUCCGGAAAAAGGCUUAUGCAGGCAUUUCACGUAUGCUCCUAUAAAUUCCUGGUAGGGAUAGUCUAUUGUAAYUGGUAGACUUGUCAACUAGGAAUGCCUUGUACGGG